rnacentral:rRNA from 1 species
UACGAAGGGGGCUAGCGUUGCUCGGAAUCACUGGGCGUAAAGCGCACGUAGGCGGAUUGCUAAGUCAGGGGUGAAAUCCUGGAGCUCAACUCCAGAACUGCCUUUGAUACUGGCGACCUUGAGUCCGGGAGAGGUGAGUGGAACUGCGAGUGUAGAGGUGAAAUUCGUAGAUAUUCGCAAGAACACCAGUGGCGAAGGCGGCUCACUGGCCCGGUACUGACGCUGAGGUGCGAGAGCGUGGGGAGCAAACAGG